rnacentral:rRNA from 1 species
AACGAACGCUGGCGGCAUGCCUAACACAUGCCAGUCGAACGAGACCUUCGGGUCUAGUGGCGCACGGGUGCGUAACGCGUGGGAACCUGCCCUUAGGUUCGGAAUAACUCCCCGAAAGGGGUGCUAAUACCGGAUAAUGUCUUCGGACCAAAGAUUUAUCGCCUUUGGAUGGGCCCGCGUUGGAUUAGCUAGUUGGUAGGGUAAAAGCCUACCGAGGCGACGAUCCAUAGCUGGUCUGAGAGGAUGAUCAGCCACACUGGGACUGAGACACGGCCCAGACUCCUACGGGAGGCAGCAGUGGGGAAUAUUGGACAAUGGGCGAAAGCCUGAUCCAGCAAUGCCGCGUGAGUGAUGAAGGCCUUAGGGUUGUAAAGCUCUUUUACCCGGGAUGAUAAUGACAGUACCGGGAGAAUAAGCGCCGGCUAACUCCGUG